ACUCCCUCUUUUCUCUCUUUGGCCGGUCACUCCCACUCUUAUUCUCCUUUUCUUUUUCUUUUUCAGUCAACACAACACACAUACACACUCUCCUCUCCCUCAUCCUCCCACCGGUACAUUCCUCAUCCUCACCUCUACCAUUUUUUCUUGCAAAAUCACUAGAAAAUCCUCAUGAACAUCACACCUUCACAUAAGUAAAUUGAGGUUCUAGCUAAUCUCCCCUUGGAGCUUGGAGAAUUAGGAUUUUGCGGUUGCUAGAGUAGGCAAUAAUCUUUUGAGGCAGUUUUUUGGUGGCUAAUAGUAGUUAGACUAACUACUGAUGGAGGCUGAAUUUUUGUGUAAUGGAUAUAUUAGAUGGUGUACAUCUUAGUCUAGGCUUGACUCAUUCUUUUGUAUACUAUAGUGGUUAUGACUGUAUUUUCCACUGUUGGGACAAGCUGUUGUUAUGUAAUGGUUGUUUUCAGACCUCUAUUCUUUUGUGACCUAUGAUCCUUGUAAUUAAUGCUUAGAGCUCUGACUUACUCUGAAAGUAUAUUCUAUGGGAUGAUUAGGAUAA